rnacentral:rRNA from 1 species
UGGGGAAUAUUGGACAAUGGACCAAGAGUCUGAUCCAGCAAUUCUGUGUGCACGAUGAAGUUUUUCGGAAUGUAAAGUGCUUUCAGUUGGGAAGAAAAAAAUGACGGUACCAACAGAAGAAGUGACGGCUAAAUACGUGCCAGCAGCCGCGGUAAUACGUAUGUCACAAGCGUUAUCCGGAUUUAUUGGGCGUAAAGCGCGUCUAGGUGGUUAUGUAAGUCUGAUGUGAAAAUGCAGGGCUCAACUCUGUAUUGCGUUGGAAACUGUGUAACUAGAGUACUGGAGAGGUAAGCGGAACUACAAGUGUAGAGGUGAAAUUCGUAGAUAUUUGUAGGAAUGCCGAUGGGGAAGCCAGCUUACUGGACAGAUACUGGCGCUAAAGCGCGAAAGCGUGGGUAGCAAACAGGAUUAGAUACCCUGGUAGUCCACGCCGUAAACGAUGAUUACUAGGUGUUGGGGGUCGAACCUCAGCGCCCAAGCAAACGCGAUAAGUAAUCCGCCUGGGGAGUACGUACGCAAGUAUG